rnacentral:rRNA from 1 species
GACGAACGCUGGCGGCGUGCUUAACACAUGCAAGUCGAGCGGUAAGGCCCUUUCGGGGGUACGACGAGCGGCGAACGGGUAGGAGUAACAACGUGGGUGGACCUCGCCCUCCAGCUCUGGGAGUAAGACCUCGGGAAACCGGGGUACCGUAAUACCGGAUAUGACUCCAUGACGCAUGUUGUGGGGUGGAAAGACCUUGUGCGGCUGAGGAGUGGGCCCGGCCGGCCUAUCAGCUUGUUGGUGGGGU